rnacentral:rRNA from 1 species
GCAGUAGCCACGGGAAUACAGAGGGUGCGAGCGUUAAUCGGAUUUACUGGGCGUAAAGCGUGCGUAGGCGGCUUCUUAAGUCGGAUGUGAAAUCCCUGAGCUUAACUUAGGAAUUGCAUUCGAUACUGGGAAGCUAGAGUAUGGGAGAGGAUGGUAGAAUUCCAGGUGUAGCGGUGAAAUGCGUAGAGAUCUGGAGGAAUACCGAUGGCGAAGGCAGCCAUCUGGCCUAAUACUGACGCUGAGGUACGAAAGCAUGGGGAGCAAACAGGAUUAGAUACCCCAGUAGUCCCUGUCUCUUAUAC